GCGGGAGUGGUGAAAUGGCAGACACGCAGGUCUUAGAAGCCUGUGCCCUAGGCGUGAGGGUUCGAGUCCCUCCUCCCGCACCA
rnacentral:tRNA from 1 species